AGCUCAGGGCUAAUCUUCCUCAAAAAAAAAAAAAAAAAAAUCAGGAGAAUUUCAGAUUAAGAUUGUCUUUAGAUAGACUGAAUAUUACAAAACCUACAUAUAAAUAGUCAUACAACUUGGCUAAUUACUUUGCCAUUUGUGAACAUUAAUGGUGGUGAUGGAGGAGGGAGCAGCAGGGGCCAAAAAAAAAAGAAACCUUCACAGCAAAGUAUGCUAGCUUUCUCUUUGUCCUUCAGGCUUCUAGUGCAGUAUUAAUCCUGCAACAGAUGUGGUUAUUUAGUUUCAGAGCUCUAAAUAUGGCAAGUUCUAUCUGAUACUCUUUGGGUUCUGAUUUCACUAAAACUCAAGUUUAAGUAUGCUUCUGCUUCUUAUGAUGGGGGGCACCUCAUCAACUGAGUUAACUGCUUAAAUCUCUGUGAGAAUGAAGAUCUUCGCUGUUAAAUUAGGUACGUUUACUAUUAUUAUUUACUAGGUACUGACAUUUUACAAUAAAACAACUAGAAACUGACACUUAGAAAAGAAUAAACCUGUUUAGAAAGAACCUUGGCUCACUUUAACGUCAUCAGCCAGAAUGACCCACUUUGCCACCUAGGCACUAGAACAUAAAAAGCAGUAACUUGUAUUUAUACUCUCUGUAAUGUGUGGGAGAAGAGAGUAGAAGUAUGCAAAUGAGUAAUCUUUUUCCUGAAAAUUCUCUGAGAAAAGAAUGUAAGAUUUUAGUAAAGAGAGUAAUAACAUCUGUCACCUUAAGACUACCUAGAUUUAAACGCCACCCAAAAGACAAAACAAAAAAGUAAAGACACUCUCCUUUUUACUUACUUACACCCACAACAUUAUAAAGAUGUAACAACUUUGUUUUCCCUAUAACUAGCUAUGGGAAGUAAGAGAGGAGAAUAUUAUGGAUUAUCAGAAAGAUUAAACAAGGGUAGCAAACAAGCACAAUUAAAUAUAUAAUAUUUUGAUUCUCAUCUAUAUUAAAAUUUUUCAUAUAAUAUAUGGAUUUUUAAAAUUGAUCUCAACAAAUCAUUAUUCUUUCAUGAAGAGCUGGAGAUAUUAAAGCAGACAUAUAUGUUGACUUCGCCACCUAAGUGCGUCAAGACAUUUAACGCAAUACAAUAAGACAAAAUUUCUAAAUAUAUAAGCAUUCUUAUGAAAGGCCUGCCACUACAUUUUUGGAACAAUUUUAUUUUCAGAAAUAAAUUAAUCCAUUUCAGAAUCUCAUCCUCUAAAGUAAGUACCUAUAAAGAAACUGCCAUUGCAGUUGGUGUUACUACUACAAGGCUCCUGCCAAGAGCAAACACUGUGCCAUCUGGUUUGACAAAUUAAGAGAGCCAAAGAGUAGCCAUUCAAGUAACAGCUUUUUAUCUCCAUCAGUAAACUCACUGCAGAUUACUAUGGUCGAGAUUCAAAACCUAACUAAUCUGGGAAUCAAGCCACACUCCACAGCUCAGCUGACUCCAUACUAUUGUGCAUCUUGAGUACAGCCUGCUCUUUCUUAACCUAAUAAAUUACCCUCCUAUAAAAUGAGCUCGUUCUGGGAACAAUCAUACAAAAUCAUGUCACUGCUGCUGCUGUUGCUUCUAAUUCAGGCUAUUUCACCCACCUCCAUGACAACUGGGAGCAGGUCACUUCAGGAUUUGCCCUAAAGUUGCUUCAAUAUUAUAUCUUUGCUUAAUGGGAACCAGACCAUUUAGCCCAAGAUUUUACAACAGGCAAAUAACUUUCACCUUUUGACCAUGUAUUCAAAUUCACUUGGAAUAAACAAUGAGAAAAUGAGAAUCAUUAUCUCAGAAAUAUUCAGCAGUGUCAAUGGCAAAUAAUAAUAGUCAAUUGAAGCCCAAUUUAAAUAGACUAAACUACAAAGGAAAAAAAAAGUCCCAUAAAACCUUUUCAGUUGGCCUUCAAAUAUUCCUUUGACUUGAAAACUGGUUUCUUCAUUUCUUUAUUUUAACUAAAUAAGCUUUAGAAAAAAAUAACAAAAGAGCUGCUGUAUACUUUUCACAUCACAGUAUGAUGAAAAUAUUAAAUAACACAAUGGAAAUAAAAUCAGCAUAGCCUUUCAAUGGAACCAAAAUAUUGACACUGUGAAGUUAUAUACCUAAGGGUCAAACUACCUGAGGUGUUUUCUUAGGGUACAGUUAGAUUUUUAAGAAAUCAUUCCAAAAAUCUCCCCAACCACAAUGACUCAAGUAACAACCUACACAUUACAAUAAAGACUAGAGUUACAACAGGACUCAGACUUAUUUACUUCAUGCAAACAAGUGAUGAAAAAUAAAUAAGCAAUCACAAAACUAGAAGAUUCUCCUGUUUGCUAUUUUUCUAGAUAAUAAUACCAUUUUUCCUUCACCAUCUAGGCAGUAGAUUCAGACUCCUAGUUUCCAGGUAAACAGUAACGUUUCUGAUGCAAUUAUUUGCCUAGUACUACAUGCCUGAGGUCAAAAUUCUAUCGAUGGCAUCCAGAAAGAAAGCAAUCCCAAUGGUCAUAACCAUGUAGCAAUUAGAUAAAUGAAGAAAAUGGAAAGAAAAAUUAGAUGUUGACGUUAUCCUAAUUUCUCUGGCUAACAUAGGCAGAUGUUUGGUGCUCCACUCCAACAUAUACGUAUGUUUAAAUUUAACCAUAACAGCUGUGUAAGAAGCAACUUUCACCUUCAAAAAGAAUACUAAGUUUUCCUUGAUUAAGUCCUCAAGUGAGAGAACACUUUCAAUCAUAUACCUCAAAACUUUGGAUCAUUCUGGUACACUGCGCUGAAAGUCUCUCACUGCUUUCAGAACCACACAGCUGUAGGCUGGAAGUGACCUUAACAGCUCAUCUAGUGCAGUGCCCUCAUUUCACACUUUUCUUUCUACUCUGUUUCUCUUCAGAAGCUGGAGUAGUAAUGAUAACAUCUCCAGCUACUAAUCACCUGGGCAACUUCUAACUCCAUAUUUACUUCAAAGCCGACUUCUAGGGAGCCCAGAGCCAGUGAAGUAAAUGUUCACUGUCCCUAUCUUCUCAUUCCCCUAGAGGAGAACCCUGAAAGCUGGACUGCAGAAGCCUUACUGCGCUGUGCAGUAUUCCCCGAAGCUGUAUAAUGAAAGGAAAAGAUUUGGGAGAAUACUAACUGAGAAUAAAAGGAGAGAAUAGAAUGACCAGCUUCUUGAUGAAAAGCUCUGAAUCACCUCCACCUGUUUUCUCCAGAAUAUUUUUCUUCCUGUGUAAAUACAUAUCGAUUGGCGGUUUUGAAGCUUGGUGAACUCACCAAGUACCUGGUUGAAACGUCUGAGGUGGAAGAGAUGAGAAUAGUUGAAAAGUAACUACUAUGUGAAAACAGAACAAAGCAGCUGAGAAGAACUGAGGCAUACUUCAGUCCACUCUGCUCCUCCACAUCUACAGAGCAGACAAUCGUCAAUUAACUAGAAAAACAACACAGCUCUUGACCUCAAGGAGUUCACAGUCUAAACAGGAAGACAGAAGACACAAAUCAUAUAAUGAAGAUAAACACAAGCUUUCUUGGGGAGUGCAGAGGAAUGACCCCAAUUGCCUGGUAAGAGUAGCUAUCAGGAAAGCCUUCUAAAAGAGGGUGAUGUCUUAAAGGGUGAGUUGGGACUGGGGAGAGGGAGACCAUUCCAGACAGACCAAAGAACACUGAGGGUUAAGAAUGCCUGGCAUUUUCAGUAAUUACGAAUAAUUUGAUAGGGCUGGAGUGAAGGUUGUAGGCAAGGUGCUUGUCUUAUAAGCACCAAAUCACAUUCCUGGAGUGCCAUGUUAAGGAGUGUAAUCUUCAUUUUGAUGAUGAUGGAACUGAUUAAGCUGGACUGUGACAUGAUUAAAUUUAUAUUUGAGAAAGAUUAUGGGCAGCAGUAAUACAGCAUGUGCAGAUAGAGUGGAGUGAGAAUAAAGGCAGACAAAUAAGAAAAUCAUUAAUAGCCUAGAUAAGAAAUUAUGAAGGCUGGAAUUAAGGCAGUGGUAGUGGAAACAGAGAGAAAGAAUGCAUAAAAGAAACAAGGAAGUCAAAGUAAUAGGGCUCAAUGACAUGAAGAUGGAGAGAGGAAA